UUGUGAAGUCAGAGAGCUGUCGGCCAGGCAACAUCUCUAAGUGGGGAUGGAGGCAGCCAUCUGCUGGUUGUAAUUUUGGGGCAAAAGAACAGAUAGCUACACUGUCCCCAAAAUAUCACACGCAUGGAAGGAUGUUGGAAAUUAAUGUUGGUAAAAAGAAAGUAUAUGAAAAUGUCUUUAUAAAUUAUAACAUGCUAUAUAAGUGGCAUUACAGUGAUCAAAGGUAAAGCAACACAUAUUAUAAGGAUAAGAUAAAAUUUGAUUACAUAAGCACCUUAGCAGGCCUUAGGACAUAAGAGGCUUCAUCCAUUUCUUCCUCCUUCCUGAGUGCCUGCAGGAGAUGAAUGAGACACAGUUUCCGCUCCCACAGAGCUUGCAAUCUUUUAGGGGCAACCGGGUACUUACGCAUGACGCCAGGCAGACAGUGAUGAGUGCCAUGAGAGCAACGGCUGCCUCCUAUAGGGACAGAAAACACUUUCUCUCUACUCUCUGAGUUUUCAUAAUUGACUCCAGGACAGUAGGCAGAUGAACAGGAGAAAAAAACAUGCACAUUUAUUACACGGAUGGGAGCAGCACGAGAAACAAAAGGUGGACACCAUGACAAAAUGCUCAGACUGACUUAAACAAAAGUGGGAGGCUACCGUUUCACACAAGUCAGAUGUGCAGUUGAGUAUGGCCUGACCGAGAGAAGGAAUUGUGUCAGCAGGAUUCUUUUCUCCACAGUGCUGCUUCUAGCUUGGUUCCCCUGCCAGGUGUUUAUGGCAGCAUCUCCUGACUUCAACUCCCAGAAUCUCUGGGAUUCCCCAUCCUGGUUUCAAGAUGCUGCAGAGGAAGCCCACUGCAAGCUUCACGUCUUUGGAGCAGCGAAUUCAAUAAAGAGUGCAGGACCCUAUUUCCCAGAGCCUCAGCUAAGUCUUCAUGUCCUCUUGGCUUCACUUGGGUUAAAUUCCCAACCCUAACACAGUCAUGUGGCAAAGGAGAUGGGAAACGGUCAUUGGCUUGAGCCAAUGUGAACUCACUCUUGUCCCAUGAAGGAAGGCACUAGUCAUAUCUCUUUAUGCUCCAAAAUUUAGCCCAGUGCUCUCAGUAAAUGACUCUUUUUUAUGUUAUGAAAGAAAACCAAGAAGGGUUGGUUUGGUGGGAAGAUGAACUCAGAGCUUUGGUAGGGAAGGAGUGAGACCCCAAGGCUUAGGUUGGGGACAAUAGGUAGAUGCAAUCGAGAGCUCUCACUGUAAUAUUCUCUGGAAUCCUUGAACUUCAGAAGUGGCCCACAUGGCCUAAUUGGAAGAUAGUGGGCCCUUCUUACUUGAAGACCAGAUAGUGAGACAGUGCCUUAUAAGACAACAUCUGUCUUCCUCAGGAUCUGCUCUACCUCCACUCCCAGCCACAAAAUUCAUAAUUAAGGUCAGAUGUCAGCACAACCUAACAGGGAAAGCAGAGCCUGCUAAGGGAGAAGAGGGAUUCUACACCCAAGCAGCUCAGAACCUGGCUGAUGUGUACUGGCAAGAACUGAAUUAGCUACCUGGCAAGGGUCCCAGGAUGUGGGUCUCAUACACCGCUUGGAUAAGUCCUGGAAACUUGCAGAAAGUGUUGGCCUACAAAAAAAUGAAGUAAAGAUGGCAGAACUACCAGCACUGACUGUGGAGAAAAGAAUCAAGAGGCUUGGAGAAGUGGACAUGCUAGAAUAGUUCUCCCACGGGAGGUCAGUUGACCAUGCUCCUGGGGAGAACACUGCAUGGAUGCAGGUGAUAAGGAAUGCACUGGUGAGUUUGGAGUCCUAAUUAGGGAAAAGGAGUCAAGAUGGUUGGGACCAGGGUAAAGCAAAAAAACAGAUAAGCUGUAAGUUUGCCUUUCUUCAUGGUCCAGGACACAGAGCCAUCCUGUGCAAAUAACUCACCAUCUUCCUGCGCCCAGCUAUCACCAGACACUCGGCUGAUAGAAAAAUGCAAGUUAGCUCACUGCGACCUUGGCAUUAUCAGUACCGCACAAAGCCCUCUUCAGCACACAGCACAAGCACCAUCCUAUAAAAUCUCCAGCAAGCUUUUGUCUCCUUGCAGUCAGCUCCUCUCUUGCUGACUUGCCCAUUGCUUUCCUGAAAUACAUUUUCCUACUUUUUCCAAUAAAUCUGCCUUUCUUUACCUAAAACUAUCUUGAUAAAUUCUUUUUACCAUCUGUGCCACCAGCCCUAGGCAGUUGCUACCCAUGACAGUGAGGAUACCAGCACACUGAGAAACUCAGUGGCAGCUGUCUUCUGUAGGUUGGGGCUGACAAGAGAUGACACUACAGAACUGAUCACACAGUAGCAGAGGCCAGCAGCACUUAAUCGUCAGAAGCUAGAUGGCAUAAUAAGGACAGUAAAUCUGGAAUGACAGUCA
rnacentral:lncRNA from 1 species